GUUUAGGNGUAAACCUGAGAAACCCGAAAGGUCGAAGGGAGAAAUUCAUUCGCGUUUCGGCGUCGGCGUGUACGCGGUCGAGCGACGGGGAGGGUGCGUUCGCGCGUAACUUCCCCGCGUCUUCCGUUUCACGAUCCGUAGCCGAACGCGUGCACUUUUCUCCUGGUAGGACGUCGCGAUCCGUCGAGUGUCGGUCUACGGCCCGCGGUGGAGCCUCGUCGGACGGUUCACGCCGUUGUUCCGAUGAGACCCGCGGUGACCCGGCCGGCUCGCUCGACGGUAUACCAUACGGUACGGGGCCGCUUACAGAGCGUCCGGCUCGCGACAAGCGCGUCGGAAGUGUCGGAUAUCGGACCUGGUGCCGGUACCGAUCUCCGAUGACUGUUGGUCGCGAAGCUCUCGGACAGACCCUAGUCGUCGUCGGCUCGCCGGCGACGAUCAUACCGAUCUGCGACGCUAUAGCUUUGGGUACUUUCAGGACCCGUCUUGAAACACGGACCAAGGAGUCUAGCAUGUGCGCGAGUCAUUGGGAAUCUAUAAACCUAAAGGCGCAAUGAAAGUAAAGGCCCGUCUCGCACGGGCCGAGGGAGGAUGUUCGGAUCGUCGUCAAAAACGACCGAACCGCACUCCCGGGGCGUCUCGUUCUCAUCGCGAGAAGAGGCGCACCAAGAGCGUACACGCUGGGACCCGAAAGAUGGUGAACUAUGCCUGGUCAGGACGAAGUCAGGGGAAACCCUGAUGGAGGUCCGUAGCGAUUCUGACGUGCAAAUCGAUCGUCGGAACUGGGUAUAGGGGCGAAAGACUAAUCGAACCAUC
rnacentral:rRNA from 1 species